UGGGGAAUUUUGGACAAUGGGCGAAAGCCUGAUCCAGCAAUGCCGCGUGUGUGAAGAAGGCCUUCGGGUUGUAAAGCACUUUUGUCCGGAAAGAAAUCCUCUGGGGUUAAUACCCUCGGGGGGAUGACGGUACCGGAAGAAUAAGCACCGGCUAACUACGUGCCAGCAGCCGCGGUAAUACGUAGGGUGCAAGCGUUAAUCGGAAUUACUGGGCGUAAAGCGUGCGCAGGCGGUUUUGUAAGACGGAUGUGAAAUCCCCGGGCUUAACCUGGGAACUGCAUUCGUGACUGCAAGGCUAGAGUAUGGCAGAGGGGGGUAGAAUUCCACGUGUAGCAGUGAAAUGCGUAGAGAUGUGGAGGAAUACCGAUGGCGAAGGCAGCCCCCUGGGCCAAUACUGACGCUCAUGCACGAAAGCGUGGGGAGCAAACAGGAUUAGAUACCCUGGUAGUCCACGCCCUAAACGAUGUCAACUAGUUGUUGGGGAUUCAUUUCCUUAGUAACGUAGCUAACGCGUGAAGUUGACCGCCUGGGGAGUACGGUCGCAAGAUUAAAACUCAAAUGAAUUGAC
rnacentral:rRNA from 1 species